UUUUGAUCAACUUGGUUAGGCUAUAGUACCUACUUUAUGGUCAAACAACCACCUAGAUGUUCUGUGAAGAUCUUUUUUAGAUGUGCUUAACAUUUAUACAUCCAUCUGUCUAUUUUAAUGGGUUUAAAUGUAUGGGGUAUAAGUGUAAUUUUGUUACAUGCAUAGAUUCUGCAAUGGCAAAAUCAGAACUUUUAGAGUAUACAUCACCCAAAAAACAUACACACAUUAAACCUUUCAUGCGCGUCCGUGUGAAGAGACCACCAAACAGGCUUUGUGUGAGCAACAUGGCUGUUUAUUUCACCUGGGCGCAGGCGGGCUGAGUCCAAAAAGAGAGUCAGUGAAGGGAGAUAAGGAUGGGGCCGUUUUAUAGGAUUUGGGUAGGUAAAGGAAAAUUACAGUCAAAGGGGGUUUGUUCUCUGGCGGGCAGGAGUGGGGGGUUGCAAGGUGCUCAGUGGGGGUGCUUUUUGAGCCAGGAUGAGCCAGGAAAAGGACUUUCACAAGGUAAUAUCAUCACUUAAGGCAAGGACCAGCCAUUUACACUUCUUUUGUGGUGGAAUGUCAUCAGUUAAGGUGGGGCAGGGCAUUUUCACUUCUUUUGUGAUUCUUCAGUUACUUCAGGCCAUCUGGGCAUAUACGUGCAAGUCACAGGGGAUGCGAUGGCUUGGCUUGGGCUCAGAGGCCUGACAUUCCUGCCUUCUUAUAUUAAUAAGAAAAAUAAAACAAAAUAGUGUUGAAGUGUUGGGACAGCGAAAAUUUUUGGGGGGUGGUAUCUAGAGAGAAUGGGCGAUGUUUCUCAGGGCUGCUUCAAGUGGGAUUAGGGUCGGCGUGGGAACCUAGAGUGGGAGAGAUUAAGCUGAAGGGAGGUCUUGUGGUAAGGGGUGAUAUUGUGGGGAUGUUAGAAGAAACAUUUGUCAUAUAGAAUGAUUGGUGAUGGCCUAGAUACGGUUUUGGAUGAAUUGAGAAACUAAAUGGAAUAACAGAAGGAGAAAAACAGGUAUAAAAGGUCUAAGAAUUGGGACGACUCAGGAUAUCUGAUUAGAGAGUGCCUAAGGAGAUUCAGCAUAGUCCUGCCAGCAAAGAUUAUUUAUUUACUUCAAGAGUUAAUAGUGACAGUUUGGGGAUAGCACCAGGAGAUAUCAGCUGUGAUGGCUUGGAAAAACAGUGUAAACCGGCAGUGUAAACAAGAGCAAGGCAUGUAUGAGUAGUUGAGAACGGUGAAUAGGAGGAUGACUAGACAGAAAAUAGUAGGGAUGACAAGUUUUUUUUUUUUUUUUUUGGUGGGGCACAGUCUAAGUUGGUCUGGUGUCUGGAAUGAGACUGGGGCCUAAUAAAAAGGAGCAUCUAUACAGGAGCUUAAAUGGGCUGUACCCUGUAGCAUUCCGAGGACAGGCCUGAAUUCUGAGAAGGGAAAGUGGUAAAAGUAUUGUCCAGUCCUUUUUAAGUUGGUGGCUGAGCUUGGUGAGGAGUGUUUUUAAAAGACCUUUAGUCCAUUCUACUUUUCUUGAAGAUGGAGGACCAUAAGGGAUAUAAAGGUUUCACUGAAUACUCAGAGCCUGAAAAACUGCUUGGCUGAUUUGACUAAUAAAGGCUGAUCUGUUAUCAGACUGUAUUGAGGUGGGAAGGCUAAACUGAGGAAUUAUGUCUGACAGAAUGGAAGAAAUGACUGUGGUGGCCUUCUCAAACCCUGUAGGAAAGGCCUCUACCUAUCCAGUGAAAGUAUCUACCUAGACUAAGAGGUAUUUUAGUUAUCGGUCUCAGGGCAUGUUGAGUAAAGCUAAUUUGCCAGUCCUGGGUGGGGCAAAUCCUGGAGCUUGAUGUGUAGGGAAGGGAGGGGGCCUGAAUAAUCCCUGAGGAGUAGUAGAAUAGCAGAUGGAACACUGAGAAGUUAUUUCCUUGAGGAUAGAUUUCAACGAUGGAAAGGAAAUGAGAGGUUCUAAGAGGCGGGCUAGUGGCUUGUACUAUAGCAUAACCUGCCUUUGCUGGUGUGUGGUGAUUAGGCCUGGUGGAACCCCCAUCAAUAAAUAAGCGUGAUCAGGGUGAGCAACAGGAAAGAAGGAAAUUUGGGGAAAUGGGGUGAAUGUCAGGUGGAUCAGAGAGAUACAGUCAUGGGGUUCAGGUGUGGUAUCAGGAAUAAUGUGGGAGGCCGGAUUGAAGUCUGAGCCAGGAACAAUGGUAAUUGUGGGAGACUCAACAAAGAGUGAGUACAGCUGAAGGAGCCGGGAAGCAGAAAGUAUAUGCGUCAGGUAUGAGGAAGAAAAUAGAUUUUGGAAGUUAUGAGAACUGUAGAGAGUGAGUUGAGCAUAGUUUGUGAUUUUGAGGGCCUCUAAAAGUAUUAAUGCAGUGGCAGCCACUGCACGCAGACAUGAGGGCUAGGCUAAAACAGUAAGGUCAAGUUGUUUGGACAGAAAGGCUACAGGGUGUGGUCCUGGCUCUUGUGUAAGAAUUCUGACUGCGCUAACCAUGCCUAGGAAGGAAAGGAGUUGUUGUUUUGUAGAAGGUGCUGGGGUUUGAGAGAUCAGUGGGACACGAUUGGCAGCACGUGUGUGGCAGCACGUGUGUUUUUAUGAGAAUUAUGCUGAGAUAGGUAACAGAUGAGGAAGAAAUUUGGGCUUGAAUGAAGUAAUGGGGGCUGUCUGUGAAGCUUUGCGGCAGUACAGCCUAGGUAAUUUGCUGAGCGUGAUGGGUGUCAGGGUCAGUCCAAGUGAAAGCAAAGAGAGGAUGGGACGAGGGGUGCAGGGGAAUAGUGAAAAAAGCAUCUUUAAGAUCAAGCAGGGAAUAGUGAGUUGUGGAGGAAGGUAUUGAGGACAAAAGAGUGUAUGGGUUGGGCACCACAGGGUGGAUAGGCAAAACAAUUUGGUUGAUAAGGCGCAGAUCCUGAACUAAGUUGUAAGGCUUGUCUGGUUUUAGGACAGGUAAAAUGGGGAAAUUGUAAGGAGAGUUUAUAGGCUUUAAAAGGCCAUGCUGUAGCAGGCGAGUGAUAACAGGCUUUAAUCUUUUUAAAGCGUGCUGUGGGAUGGGAUAUUGGCAUUGAGUGGGGUAAGUGUGAUUAGGUUUUAAUGAGAUGGUAAGAGGUGCAUGAUCGGUAGCCAAGGAGGGAGUAGAGGUAUAUUAUACUUGUGGGUUAAGGUCGGGGGAUACAAGAGGAGGAUGCAAAGGAGGCUUUGGAUUGGGAAGAAGGGCGGCAAUGAGAUAUAGCUGUAGCCCAGGAAUAGUCAGGGCAGCAGAUAAUUUAGUUAAAGUGUCUCGGCCUAAUAAGGGAACUGGGCAGGUGGGGAUAACUAAAAAGGAGUGCUUCAAAGAGUAUUGUCUAAGUUGGCACCAGAGUUGGGGAGUUUUAAGAGGUUUAGAAGCCUGGCCGUCAAUACCCACAACAGUUAUGGAGGCAAGGGAAACAGCCCUUGAAAAGAAGGUAAUGUGGAGUGGGUAGCCUCUGUAUUGAUGAAGAAGGGGACGGGCUUACUUUCCACUGUGAGAGUUACCCGAAGCUCAGCAUCCGUGGUGGUCUAGGGGGCUUCCGAGGCGAUCCGGCAGUGUCAGUCUUCAGCCGCUAAGCCAAGAAGAUCUGCGAAGGAGUCAGUCAGAGAGGCUUGGGCCAGAGUUCCAGGGGCUCUGCGAGUGGCUGCCAGGUGAGUUGAACAGUCCGAUUUUCAGUGGGGUCCCACACAGAUGGGACACGGCUUAGGAGGAAUCCCGGGCUGUGGGCAUUCCUUGGCCCAGUGGCCAGAUUUCUGGCAUGUGUAGCAAGCUCCUAUGGGAGGAGGUUCUGGAGGAAUGCCUGGCUGCUGCGGUUCAGGCGUUUGGAAGUUCUUGUGUGCUGGAGAUGUGGCUGGGGUUUUUCUCACAGUGGAGGCAAGGAAUUGCAACUUUUUUCUAUUAUUGUACACCUUGAAGGCGAGGUUAAUUAAAUCCUGUUGUGGGGUUUGAGGGCUGGAAUUUAAUUUUUGGAGUUUUAUUUAAUGUCGGGAGCAGAUUGGGUAAUAAAAUGUAUUUUGAGAAUAAGACGGCCUUUUGACCUUUUAGGGUCUAGGGCUGUAAAGUGUCUCAGGGUUGCUGCCAAACAAGUCAUGAACUGGGCUGGAUUUUUAUAUUUGAUGAAAAAGAGCCUAAACACUAUCUGAUUUGGGAUAAAGAAAAAGGAGCAUUAACCUUGACUAUGCCUUUGGCUCUAGCCACCUUUUUAAGAGUAAAUUGCUGGGCAGGAGGGGGAGGGCUAGUCAGGGAACGAAGCUGUAAGCAGGACCAGGUGUGAGGAGGGGAGGUGAUAAAAAAAUUAUAGGGUGGAGGAGCAGAGGCUGAGGAAGAAUUGGGACCUAGCUCGGCCUGGCAAGGAGCAGCCUGGGGAGGAAGGGAGAGGUCAGAUGGGUCUGUAGAAAAGGAAGAUUAGAAAGACUCAGCGAUGCUUGGGGUUGGUACUGAGGGGACAGGUGGGAGGGAAAGAAGGAAGAUUUGGGACGAGUUGCACUGGGCACAGAGACUAGGAAGGGACUGAUGUGUAAAAGAAUGCCUGGACGUCAGGCACCUCAGACCAUUUACCUAUUUUACGACAAGAAUUAUUUAGAUCUUGCAGGAUGGAAAAAUUCAAAGUGCCAUUUUCUGGCUAUUUGGAACUACUGUCGAGUUUGUAUUGGGGUCAAGCGGCAUUGCAGAAGAAAAUAAGGCAUUUAGGUUUUAGGUGAGGUGUGAGUUGAAGAGGUUUUAAGUUUUUGAGAACACAGGCCAAGGGAGUAGAAGGAGGAAUGGAGGGUGGAAGGUUGCCUAUAGUGAAGGAAGCAAGCCUAGAGAAGAGAGAGAGUAGAGAAACGGAGGGAAGGGGUUCGGGGGUUCUUACCUUCCAGAAAAGUAGGAAAAGGGGUUGGGGUGUGGAAAUAAGGGAUUGGGGUGCAGAGAUAUAAGAGGUUGGAGCGUGGAAAUAAGGGAUUGGGGCACAGAGAUAAGAGGUCGGGGUGCAGAAAUAAGGGAUUGGGGCACAGAGAUAAGAGGUCGGGGUGCGGAAAUAAGGGAUUGGGGCACAGAGAUAAGAGGUUGGGGCAUGGAAAUAAGGGAUUGGGGGUUCUUGCCCCAUAGAAAAGCAGGACUUACCACUAAGGGUGAAGGAGAAGGGGUUGAGGGGUAUUUGCCCCUCUCCUAGAAAAGCAGAGAAGGGGUAGAGACAAGGAGAGAAGGGGUUGAGGGGUACUUGUCCCUUCCUCAGAAAAGCAGGACUUGCCGCUAAGGGUGAAGGACCAAGGCAGGCGUCCCUGCGUGGUCUGACACCCUUGAAACAUGAGUGUAUAAUCAGAGAGGCGUCCCUGCAAUGAUUAAACACCGAGGGAAGGCUGCCUUCCCAGUCCGUGACCGGCACCGGAGUUUUGGGUCCACGGAUAAAACGUGUCUCGUUUGUCUCUACCAGAAAAUGAAAGGAAUUGAAAUUAAGAGAAGGGAGAGAUUGAAGUGUGGCGCCAAGAUUGAAAGGAGAAAGAGGUUGAGGGAUAGUGAGGGACGUUGGAGAAAAGAGUAAAAUGAGGCCGCUUACCAGAUUUGAAAUUGGUGAGAUGUUUCUUGGGCUGGUCGGUCUGAGGACCUGAGGUAGUAGGUGGAUCUUUCUCACGGAGCAAAGAACAGGAGGACAGGGGAUUGAUCUGGGAAGGGAGGUCCCCAGAUCUGAGUCAUGGCACCAAAUUUCAUGCGUGUCCAUGUGAAGAGACCACCAAACAGGCUUUGUGUGAGCAACAUGGCUGUUUAUUUCACCUGGGUGCAGGUGGGCUGAGUCCAGAAAGAGAGUCAGUGAAGGGAGAUAAGGAUGGGGCCGUUUUAUAGGAUUUAGGUAGGUAAAGGAAAAUUACAGUCAAGGGGGUUCUCUGGCGGGCAGGAGUGGGGGUCGCAAAGUGCUCAGUGGGGGUGCUUUUUGAGCCAGGAUGAGCCAGGAAAAGGACUUUCACAAGGUAAUGUCAUCACUUAAGGCAAGGAUCAGCCAUUUACACUUCUUUUGUGGUGGAAUGUCAUCAGUUAAGGUGGGGCAGGGCAUUUUCACUUCUUUUGUGAUUCUUCAGUUACUUCAGGCCAUCUGGGUAUAUACGUGCAAGUCACAGGGGAUGCAAUGGCUUGGCUUGGGCUCAGAGGCCUGACAAAACCUAUUAAGUAAUCUCUCAUUAUUCACUCUUUUUCUACCCCCUUAAAUCAGUAAACCUUUGAAUAAAGCAGAUUAACCUUCAUAAUGUGGGGGAACCUCAUGCAAUUAUCUGAUGAACUCAAGACAAAAGACUGAGGUCCCUUGAAGGGGAAAGGAUUCUGGCUUCUGACUAUGUCUGCACUGAAAAUUGCAGUAUUAACUACUGCUGGAAUUUCCAGCCUGCUGGCCAAUUCUGCAGAUUCCAGACUUGCCAGCUUCCAAAAUCAAGUCACCAAAAGACAAGGCCCUCCACAGGAUUGAGUGACAACAUCAUAAGCUUCAAAGGAAAUGCAAACAUUUGUUUGAAAAACCGGUAAAAUCCUAAGAAAAAUCCACCUCUGAAGAAUCCACCUCUGAAAUAAACCUGG
rnacentral:lncRNA from 10 species